CCUACGGGAGGCAGCAGUGAGGAAUAUUGGUCAAUGGACGAGAGUCUGAACCAGCCAAGUAGCGUGAAGGAUGACUGCCCUAUGGGUUGUAAACUUCUUUUAUAUAGGAAUAAAAUGUUCCACGUGUGGCUUUUUGUAUGUACCAUAUGAAUAAGGAUCGGCUAACUCCGUGCCAGCAGCCGCGGUAAUACGGAGGAUCCGAGCGUUAUCCGGAUUUAUUGGGUUUAAAGGGAGCGUAGGUGGAUUGUUAAGUCAGUUGUGAAAGUUUGCGGCUCAACCGUAAAAUUGCAGUUGAAACUGGCAGUCUUGAGUACAGUAGAGGUGUGCGGAAUUCGUGGUGUAGCGGUGAAAUGCUUAGAUAUCACGAAGAACUCCGAUUGCGAAGGCAGCUCACUGAACUGCAACUGACACUGAGGCUCGAAAGUGUGGGUAUCAAACAGGAUUAGAUACCCUAGUAGUC
rnacentral:rRNA from 1 species